AGUACCAAAAAAUCACUAAGGAAAAUAUUCCUCAACGAUAGAGAGGGACACACUGAGAAAAGAGUGAGAUGCAACGUCUUUAAAAACAAUAGAAAAUGCAAAGACAGUCGAUGAGAGAAAAAAAUUCUCUCAGCAAAAGUCAUAUUAUUGUCAAUCGCAGUCUACGCGCGAUUCCUUGAUAGCUUAGAGGCUUGCAUGUUGGUCUAUUAAACAAAAGCACGGAGGUUCGAAUCCCAGUCCAGGCGAAAGGAUUUUUUUGCAAAAAAUGACCAAGGAGUUCUUUGAUGAGUUCUUUGCAAAGAAUACCAAAUACCUUCCCU